ACACGACUACAUUAGAUACCCCCUGUAGUCCUAGCCGUAAACGAUACUCGCUAGGUGUCGGCCACGGUGCGACCGUUGUACGGUGCCGUAGGGAAGCCGUGAAGCGAGCCAACCUGGGAAGUACGGCCGCAAGGCUGAAACUUAAAGGAAUUGGCGGGGAGCACAACAACGGGUGGAGCUUGCGGUUUAAUUGGAUUCAACGCCGGAAAUCUUACCGGGACCGACAGCAACAUGAAGGCCAAGCUGAAGACUUUGCCGGAUUAGCUG
rnacentral:rRNA from 1 species